rnacentral:rRNA from 1 species
GAUGAACGCUGGCGGCGUGCUUAACACAUGCAAGUCGAACGAAGCACUUUAUUUGAUUUCCUUCGGGACUGAUUAUUUUGUGACUGAGUGGCGGACGGGUGAGUAACGCGUGGGUAACCUGCCUUGUACAGGGGGAUAACAGUUGGAAACGGCUGCUAAUACCGCAUAAGCGCACAGCAUCGCAUGAUGCAGUGUGAAAAACUCCGGUGGUAUAAGAUGGACCCGCGUUGGAUUAGCUAGUGGGUGAGGUAACGGCCCACCAAGGCGACGAUCCAUAGCCGACCUGAGAGGGUGACCGGCAACAUUGGGACUGAGACACGGCCCAAACUCCUACGGGAGGCAGCAGUGGGGAAUAUUGCACAAUGGGCGAAAGCCUGAUGCAGCGACGCCGCGUGAGCGAAGAAGUAUUUCGGUAUGUAAAGCUCUAUCAGCAGGGAAGAUAAUGACGGUACCUGACUAAGAAGCACCGGCUAAAUACGUG